rnacentral:rRNA from 1 species
AGUGAACGCCGGCGGUAGGCCUAACACAUGCAAGUCGAACGGCAGCACAGUAAGAGCUUGCUCUUACGGGUGGCGAGUGGCGGACGGGUGAGGAAUACAUCGGAAUCUACUUUUUCGUGGGGGAUAACGUAGGGAAACUUACGCUAAUACCGCAUACGACCUACGGGUGAAAGCAGUGGAUCUUCGGACCUUGCGCGAUUGAAUGAGCCGAUGUCGGAUUAGCUAGUUGGCGGGGUAAAGGCCCACCAAGGCGACGAUCCGUAGCUGGUCUGAGAGGAUGAUCAGCCACACUGGAACUGAGACACGGUCCAGACUCCUACGGGAGGCAGCAGUGGGGAAUAUUGGACAAUGGGCGCAAGCCUGAUCCAGCCAUACCGCGUGGGUGAAGAAGGCCUUCGGGUUGUAAAGCCCUUUUGUUGGGAAAGAAAAGCAGCAGGUUAAUACCCCGCUGUUCUGACGGUACCCAAAGAAUAAGCACCGGCUAACUUCGUG